rnacentral:rRNA from 1 species
UACGAAGGGGGCUAGCGUUGUUCGGAUUAACUGGGCGUAAAGCGCGCGUAGGCGGGUUUUUAAGUCAGGGGUGAAAUCCCAAGGCUCAACCUUGGAACUGCCUUUGAUACUGGAAAUCUUGAGUCCGGGAGAGGUGAGUGGAACUGCGAGUGUAGAGGUGAAAUUCGUAGAUAUUCGCAAGAGCACCAGUGGCGAAGGCGGCUCACUGGCCCGGUACUGACGCUGAGGUGCGAAAGCGUGGGGAGCAAACAGG